UCGACAGACGAGGUUCUUUUGCUAAAUUUUGGGGUGUUCCUUCUCGACCAAUUGUUUAAACGAAUUGUGGCCGGUGGUCUUGAUCGACCAAGAACCAAACCUAACAGGUUAUUGCACCAGCAAUGUCUGCAACCUGUGAGUUGGCAAUUCUUGCGACACAAAACAAGGGUUACUCAUGUUUUGGUAACCGAAGGUGCUGGCUAUGUUGGUUCUCACGCUACACUACGCCCUGUUGGGGAGACCUGCAUUCACUUUUUUGUACUUGACAAUGGACUUUCGGGAUUUGAUUAAAAAAAUUAAUUAUUUGAAACUAUGAAAGAAUGAACAGACUUGUAAGUGGGUUUAUUUUGAACAUUCUUUUCAUUUCUGAAAUAUAACUGGUGUGUAAAUGUUGUGCAGCUGCUUGUGAUAAGUGCUCCAACAAAAGGAAAGGAAUCGUGUUGCCAAAGUUAAAUCACCGUUUUGAUCCGUACUUAGUUUUUCAUACCCUUCGAACACCGAACGAAAAUGACUAUUUUUUAUUUAUUUAUAGAAACGCCACAAUAUCACCCAAACUUGAAUCGACCAAAACCAGCUUGACUCACUACCCUGUCCAACCGACCAGCCUGUUUUGCAAGGUGUACUAAUCUCUUAUGGCUAGAAAACACCAAAGC